rnacentral:rRNA from 1 species
UACGUAGGGUGCAAGCGUUGUUCGGAAUCAUUGGGCGUAAAGCGCGUGUAGGUGGUUAGUAAAGUCAGGUGUGAAAGCCCUCGGCUCAACCGAGGAAGUGCAUCUGAAACUAGCUAGCUCGAGAAUGGUAGAGGGAAAUGGAAUUCCGUGUGUAGAGGUGAAAUUCGUAGAUAUACGGAGGAAUACCUGUGGCGAAGGCGGUUUCCUGGGCCAUUUCUGACGCUGAGACGCGAAAGCGUGGGGAGCAAACAGG